UGGGGGAUAUUGCACAAUGGGCGAAAGCCUGAUGCAGCGACGCCGCGUGGGGGAUGAAGGCCUUCGGGUUGUAAACUUCUUUUGCUCUGAACAAGGCAUGCUAAUGGGUGUGUUGAGUGUAGGGGUUGAUUAGCGCCGGCUAACUACGUGCCAGCAGCCGCGGUAAUACGUAGGGCGCGAGCGUUGUCCGGAAUUAUUGGGCGUAAAGGGCUUGUAGGUGGCUGGUUGCGUCUGUCGUGAAAGCUAAUGGCUUAACUGUGGGUUUGCGGUGGGUACGGGCUGGCUUGAGUGCAGUAGGGGAGGCUGGAAUUCCUGGUGUAGCGGUGGAAUGCGCAGAUAUCAGGAGGAAUACCGGUGGCGAAGGCGGGUAUCUGGGCUGUUACUGACACUGAGGAGCGAAAGCAUGGGGAGCGAACAGG
rnacentral:rRNA from 1 species